AUUGAACGCUGGCGGCAGGCCUAACACAUGCAAGUCGAGCGGGUGAAGGGAGCUUGCUCCUGGACUCAGCGGCGGACGGGUGAGUAAUGCCUAGGAAUCUGCCUGGUAGUGGGGGAUAACGUCCGGAAACGGGCGCUAAUACCGCAUACGUCCUGAGGGCGAAAGUGGGGGAUCUUCGGACCUCACGCUAUCAGAUGAGCCUAGGUCGGAUUAGCUAGUUGGUGGGGUAAAUGCCUACCAAGGCGACGAUCCGUAACUGGUCUGAGAGGAUGAUCAGUCACACUGGAAGUGAGACACGUUCCAGACUCUUACGCGAGGCCGCAGUGGGGAAUAUUAGACGAUGCGCGAAAGCGUAAUACAGCCAUGCCGGGGGUGGGAAGAAGGUCCUCGGACGCUAAAGCACUUUAAGUUUGGAGGAAGUGCAGUACGUUUAUACCGUGUGGUAUUGACGGUACCAACAGAAUAAGCACCGGCUAACUUCGUG
rnacentral:rRNA from 1 species